AACGAACGCUGGCGGCAGGCUUAACACAUGCCAGUCGAGCGAGACCUUCGGGUCCAGCGGCGGGCGGGUGAGUAACGCGUGGGAACGUGCCCUUCUCUACGGAAUAGCCCCGGGAAACUGGGAGUAAUACCGUAUACGCCCUUUGGGGGAAAGAUUUAUCGGAGAAGGAUCGGCCCGCGUUGGAUUAGGUAGUUGGUGGGGUAAUGGCCCACCAAGCCGACGAUCCAUAGCUGGUUUGAGAGGAUGAUCAGCCACACUGGGACUGAGACACGGCCCAGACUCCUACGGGAGGCAGCAGUGGGGAAUCUUAGACAAUGGGGGCAACCCUGAUCUAGCCAUGCCGCGUGAGUGAUGAAGGCCUUAGGGUUGUAAAGCUCUUUCAGCUGGGAAGAUAAUGACGGUACCAGCAGAAGAAGCCCCGGCUAACUCCGUG
rnacentral:rRNA from 1 species